rnacentral:rRNA from 1 species
CUUACGGGAGGCUGCAGUGGGGAAUAUUGGGCAAUGGGCGAAAGCCUGACCCAGCAACGCCGCGUGAAGGAAGAAGGUUUUCGGAUUGUAAACUUCUGUCCUCAGGGAAGAAGGACGUGACGGUACCUGAGGAGGACGCCCCGGCUAACUACGUGCCAGCAGCCGCGGUAAUACGUAGGGGGCGAGCGUUGUCCGGAAUGACUGGGCGUAAAGGGCGCGUAGACGGCUGUCUAAGUCUGGAGUGAAAGUCCUGUUUUCAAGGUGGGAAGUGCUGUGGAGACUGGAUGGCUUGAGUGCGGAAGAGGUAAGUGGAAUUCCCAGUGUAGCGGUGAAAUGCGUAGAGAUUGGGAGGAACACCAGUGGCGAAGGCGACUUACUGGGCCGUAACUGACGUUGAAGCGCGAAAGCGUGGGGAGCGAACAGGAUUAGAUACCCUGGUAGUC